AGGAUUCAGCCUGGAUUACAACUACGAAUGGGAGAGAGACAUGGAAGGUUCUGGAUCAGCCACAGAAGACAUGGAAGGUUCUGGAUCAGCCACAGAAGACAUGGAAGGUUCUGGAUCAGCCACAGAAGAGCUGGAUCCUAUUGAAUCAACUUCACAAGAUACGCAUUGGAGAAGCUAUCUCGCUAUCGGACAAAUGGUGAUCGUGUUCAUAUCGGCCGUUUUAAUUGCAGGUGGGUGCAAUACUCCGCGUAAUUCGUUCAAUGUUCC